UCCAGGCAAAUCCGGAUAAUCAAGGCUGAGGUGUGAUGACGAGGCACUACGGUGCUGAAGUAACAAAUGCCCUGCUUCCAGGAAAAGCCUCUAAGCAUCAGGUAACAUUAAAUCGUACCCCAAACCGACACAGGUGGUCAGGUAGAGAAUACCAAGGCGCUUGAGAGAACUCGGGUGAAGGAACUAGGCAAAAUGGUGCCGUAACUUCGGGAGAAGGCACGCUGGUGUGUAGGUGAAGUCCCUGCGGAUGGAGCUGAGACCAGUCGAAGAUACCAGCUGGCUGCAACUGUUUAUUAAAAACACAGCACUGUGCAAACACGAAAGUGGACGUAUACGGUGUGACGCCUGCCCGGUGCCGGAAGGUUAAUUGAUGGGGUUAUCCGUAAGGAGAAGCUCUUGAUCGAAGCCCCGGUAAACGGCGGCCGUAACUAUAACGGUCCUAAGGUAGCGAAAUUCCUUGUCGGGUAAGUUCCGACCUGCACGAAUGGCGUAAUGAUGGCCAGGCUGUCUCCACCCGAGACUCAGUGAAAUUGAACUCGCUGUGAAGAUGCAGUGUACCCGCGGCAAGACGGAAAGACCCCGUGAACCUUUACUAUAGCUUGACACUGAACAUUGAGCCUUGAUGUGUAGGAUAGGUGGGAGGCUUUGAAGCGUGGACGCCAGUCUGCGUGGAGCCAACCUUGAAAUACCACCCUUUAAUGUUUGAUGUUCUAACGUUGGCCCCUGACCGGGGUUGCGGACAGUGUCUGGUGGGUAGUUUGACUGGGGCGGUCUCCUCCCAAAGCGUAACGGAGGAGCACGAAGGUUAGCUAAUCCUGGUCGGACAUCAGGAGGUUAGUGCAAUGGCAUAAGCUAGCUUGACUGCGAGCGUGACGGCGCGAGCAGGUGCGAAAGCAGGUCAUAGUGAUCCGGUGGUUCUGAAUGGAAGGGCCAUCGCUCAACGGAUAAAAGGUACUCCGGGGAUAACAGGCUGAUACCGCCCAAGAGUUCAUAUCGACGGCGGUGUUUGGCACCUCGAUGUCGGCUCAUCACAUCCUGGGGCUGAAGUAGGUCCCAAGGGUAUGGCUGUUCGCCAUUUAAAGUGGUACGCGAGCUGGGUUUAGAACGUCGUGAGACAGUUCGGUCCCUAUCUGCCGUGGGCGCUGGAGAAUUGAGGGGGGCUGCUCCUAGUACGAGAGGACCGGAGUGGACGCAUCACUGGUGUUCGGGUUGUCAUGCCAAUGGCACUGCCCGGUAGCUAAAUGCGGAAGAGAUAAGUGCUGAAAGCAUCUAAGCACGAAACUUGCCCCGAGAUGAGUUCUCCCUGAGACUUUAAGUCUCCUGAAGGAACGUUAAAGACGAUGACGUUGAUAGGCCGGGUGUGUAAGCGCAGCGAUGCGUUGAGCUAACCGGUACUAAUGAACCGUGAGGCUUAACC
rnacentral:rRNA from 1 species